rnacentral:rRNA from 1 species
AGUCCAGACUCCUACGGGAGGCAGCAGUGGGGGAUAUUGCACAAUGGGGGCAACCCUGAUGCAGCGACGCCGCGUGAGCGAUGGAGUACUUCGGUCUGUAAAGCUCUGUCAGCAGGGAAGAGAAUGACGGUACCUGACCAAGAAGCACCGACUAACUCCGUGCCAGCAGCCGCGGUAAUACGGAGGGUGCGAGCGUUAAUCGGAAUUACUGGGCGUAAAGCGCUCGUAGGCGGUAUGUCAAGUCAAGGGUGAAAUCCCCGCGCUCAACGUGGGAACUGCCUUUGAAACUGGCAAACUGGAGUGUGUGAGAGGAUAGUGGAAUUCCAGGUGUAGGAGUGAAAUCCGUAGAUAUCUGGAGGAACAUCAGUGGCGAAGGCGACUAUCUGGCACAUAACUGACGCUGAGGAGCGAAAGCGUGGGUAGCAAACAGGAUUAGAUACCCUGGUACA